UACGAAGGGGGCUAGCGUUGCUCGGAAUCACUGGGCGUAAAGCGCACGUAGGCGGAUUGUUAAGUCAGGGGUGAAAUCCUGGAGCUCAACUCCAGAACUGCCUUUGAUACUGGCGAUCUUGAGUCCGGGAGAGGUGAGUGGAACUGCGAGUGUAGAGGUGAAAUUCGUAGAUAUUGGGAAGAACACCGAUGGCGAAGGCAGCUCUCUGGACCGUUACUGACGCUGAGGCGCGAAAGCGUGGGGAGCAAACAGG
rnacentral:rRNA from 1 species